AACCUCCGCAAUGUGAGAAAUCGCGACGGGGGGAUUCCAAGUGCCAUUCUUAACGGGAUGGCUUUUCAUUAGUGUAAAGAGCUUUUGGAAUAAGGGCUGGGCAAGACCGGUGCCAGCCGCCGCGGUAACACCGGCAGCUCUAGUGGUAGCAGUUUUUAUUGGGCCUAAAGCGUCCGUAGCCGGUUUAAUAAGUCUCUGGUGAAAUCCUGUAGCUUAACUGUGGGAAUAGCUGGAGAUACUAUUAGACUUGAGACCGGGAGAGGUUAGAGGUACUCCCAGGGUAGAGGUGAAAUUCUGUAAUCCUGGGAGGACCGCCUGUUGCGAAGGCGUCUAACUGGAACGGUUCUGACGGUGAGGGACGAAAGUUAGGGGCGCGAACCGGAUUAGAUACCCGGGUAGUCCUAACUGUAAACGAUGCGGACUUGGUGUUGGGGUGGCUUUGAGCUGCUCCAGUGCCGAAGGGAAGCUGUUAAGUCCGCCGCCUGGGAAGUACGGUCGCAAGACUGAAACUUAAAGGAAUU
rnacentral:rRNA from 1 species